rnacentral:rRNA from 1 species
AUUGAACGCUGGCGGCAGGCUUAACACAUGCAAGUCGAGCGGGGUGAUGGUGCUUGCACUAUCACUUAGCGGCGGACGGGUGAGUAAUGCUUAGGAAUCUGCCUAUUAGUGGGGGACAACAUCUCGAAAGGGAUGCUAAUACCGCAUACGUCCUACGGGAGAAAGCAGGGGAUCACUUGUGACCUUGCGCUAAUAGAUGAGCCUAAGUCGGAUUAGCUAGUUGGUGGGGUAAAGGCCUACCAAGGCGACGAUCUGUAGCGGGUCUGAGAGGAUGAUCCGCCACACUGGGACCGCGACACGGCCCAGACUCCUACGGGAGGCAGCAGUGGGGAAUAUUGGACAAUGGGGGGAACCCUGAUCCAGCCAUGCCGCGUGUGUGAAGAAGGCCUUAUGGUUGUAAAGCACUUUAAGCGAGGAGGAGGCUCUUUUGGCUAAUACCCAAGAUGAGUGGACGUUACUCGCAGAAUAAGCACCGGCUAACUCUGUGCCAGCCGCCGCUGUAA